rnacentral:rRNA from 1 species
GACAGAGGGUGCAAACGUUGUUCGGAAUUACUGGGCGUAAAGCGCGUGUAGGCGGCUCGGCAAGUCGGGUGUGAAAGCCCUGGGCUUAACCUGGGAAUGGCAGUGGAUACUGGCAAGCUAGAGUGCGGUAGAGGGUAGUGGAAUUCCCGGUGUAGCGGUGAAAUGCGUAGAGAUCGGGAGGAACACCAGUGGCGAAGGCGGCUCACUGGCCCGGUACUGACGCUGAGGUGCGAAAGCGUGGGGAGCAAACAGG